GACGUCCUUAUCUCGGGGACACGCAAGGACAGUGAUCGUAAUGUGAGUCCUUGUUGUGCUACGCCCAUGAUAUCAGUGCUGCAUCAUGGUAACCUACCAUGUUGCAAUUUUUGUAGUC